ensembl:lincRNA Gm13219 predicted gene 13219
UCCUGAAAAUUUUCCCUUGUGAAUUCAAAUGAACUGGGAAACUAGAACAACGGAUCAACUUUGGUCUCUCAAAGUCUCUUCCAAAGGAUCUGCAGAGAUCCCUUUCUGCUGUACCAACACCAUGGUGUUUCCUGGCUCUCCCUCCUCAUCAUGGCCGUUCAUUACCGCCUAGCCUCUAAGGUUCUGCACUUUCAUACACCCUGCCCUUUGGCUUGGCCCUUCAAUCAACAAGUCCUGCAUACCUGAUUGAUCUAGACCUGAAUAUCAUAUCAUAAAAGAUCUCCUGGGCAUUUACUGCUUUCCUUGGAACUUCUAAUUCCAUUCCAAGAUGUUUGUGUCCUUUGGGGUGUUGAUGUUUGCUUUUUCUUUGACACAGUGUCUCUCUAAGCAGCCCAGGUGAGCCUUGCGCUUGUAAUCAUUCUGAUGUUUUCCCUCACAUGCUUGGAUUACAGGCAUGUCCGACUCUAUGAAGCUUGUCUAUGUGAUUUUAUGUUCAUGUUGGUGUACAUGCACAUAUGUUCCUCUGGGUGAUGUUGCAUCUGUAUGUGCAUGUAUAUGGAGGCCAGAAGACAAUCUCAGGUAUCAGUCCUUAGGAUCGAUCCACCAUUAGUUGAUUGACUAUUCUGAAAGAGUGUCCUUGACAGGCCUGAGGCUAGUAGGUUAGGCUGGCGGGCCAGCAAAGCCCACGUAUCUGCCUGACUAGGAUGGGAAUUACAAGUGUGCGCCACUUUCUUUUUCUUUUUCUUUUUUAGCAUGGGUUGAGCAGAUCAAACUCAGCUCCUCAUGGUUGCAAGGCAAACACUUUACUAGUUGAGCAGUCUCCCCAGGGUCUAAUUCAUCUGAUUUAAAGGAAUAAAAUAAGUGGGAUUUUGUGUGUCUCCAUAGGUGCUAUUAGGAAGUACCUUAUAGUAAAACUAUCAAAGUAGAAUUCAAAGAACACUACAGAGAACAGUGAGUUUCUACUAUUAAAAGUUUUAAAGAACUUCACAACCAUUUUAUACCUAUAUAGAGCACUAAUCAUAAUAUAUGCAUUCAUAAACCAGGCUUUGGCUGCUAAGCACCUGUCACCUAAAACAUUAUAGAUGCUCAACAAAUAUUCAUAAAAUGCUAAGAGCAUUCAUAAGCAUAUCAAUAUAUGUUAAUCAGUUCUCACUUAAUAAAAAUGACUUAUAAUCAGAUUGCCUCAAUGGGAGAAAAAAAUAAUCUGUUGCAGCAGAGGAACAAGUAUCUGUCCAAAGAAACCCCACAGUGUCUGUCUUUAAAUACCAAAGUAGCAUUACUGCAGGUAUAUACCAUGGUACUAGAAAUUAGCAUUUUUUAAAAAAUAUACAAACUAGCCAAGAACGAUAGACCAAUAGGGAAAAGUGCUUUUCAGAAAGCCUGAUAAUCUGACUUUGACUCACAGAGCCCACUGUAAAAGAAGAAAAUUAAGUCUGUAAAGUUGCACAUAUGCUGUAGCAUAUGCACACAUAUAUUUAUAUAUCAUGUGCAUACAUACAUAGUAACAAUAAAUACAAUAUUUUAAUUUAAAAAUAUAUACAGCAUGUUGUCAAUUUAGCCAAGUAUAUUGAAAGUAUCUUGAAAUAAAAGCCAGUUACAAUUUUUAAUUUGUUUAAAUAUGUACAUUGGUCUCAGACAGUGGCACAUAGCAAGAAGGUAUUUAAUGAAAGUGUAUUCCAUCAGAUUAAUUCACAUGAAUCAAAACUCAGUUUUCAUGCCCUAAGUGUAGCAAACAGGUUUCUCAACUGUUGGGGAAACAUCAGAUUCUCCUUUCUGUUUUAUCUACUUUACUUCCUCUGCCAAGUUUCAUAAGACUUGAGAAAAUGAAAUAAAAGAAUCUCAG